rnacentral:rRNA from 1 species
UACGUAGGUGGCAAGCGUUGUUCGGAUUUACUGGGCGUAAAGCGCGUGUAGGCGGCUUUGCAAGUCGGAUGUGAAAGCCCACGGCUCAACCGUGGAAGUGCAUCCGAAACUGCAUGGCUUGAGUCUCGGAGAGGAAGGUGGAAUGCUUGGUGUAGAGGUGAAAUUCGUAGAUAUCAAGCAGAACACCUGCGGCGAAGGCGGCCUU